rnacentral:rRNA from 1 species
GGUUAAGCGACUAAGCGUACACGGUGGAUGCCCUGGCAGUCAGAGGCGAUGAAGGACGUGCUAAUCUGCGAUAAGCGUCGGUAAGGUGAUAUGAACCGUUAUAACCGGCGAUUUCCGAAUGGGGAAACCCAGUGUGAUUCGUCACACUAUCAUUAACUGAAUCCAUAGGUUAAUGAGGCGAACCGGGGGAACUGAAACAUCUAAGUACCCCGAGGAAAAGAAAUCAACCGAGAUUCCCCCAGUAGCGGCGAGCGAACGGGGAGCAGCCCAGAGCCUGAAUCAGUGUGUGUGUUAGUGGAAGCGUCUGGAAAGGCGUGCGAUACAGGGUGACAGCCCCGUACACAAAAAUGCACAUACUGUGAGCUCGAUGAGUAGGGCGGGACACGUGGUAUCCUGUCUGAAUAUGGGGGGACCAUCCUCCAAGGCUAAAUACUCCUGACUGACCGAUAGUGAACCAGUACCGUGAGGGAAAGGCGAAAAGAACCCCGGCGAGGGGAGUGAAAAAGAACCUGAAACCGUGUACGUACAAGCAGUGGGAGCACGCUUAGGCGUGUGACUGCGUACCUUUUGUAUAAUGGGUCAGCGACUUAUAUUCUGUAGCAAGGUUAACCGAAUAGGGGAGCCGAAGGGAAACCGAGUCUUAACUGGGCGUUAAGUUGCAGGGUAUAGACCCGAAACCCGGUGAUCUAGCCAUGGGCAGGUUGAAGGUUGGGUAACACUAACUGGAGGACCGAACCGACUAAUGUUGAAAAAUUAGCGGAUGACUUGUGGCUGGGGGUGAAAGGCCAAUCAAACCGGGAGAUAGCUGGUUCUCCCCGAAAGCUAUUUAGGUAGCGCCUCGUGAAUUCAUCUCCGGGGGUAGAGCACUGUUUCGGCAAGGGGGUCAUCCCGACUUACCAACCCGAUGCAAACUGCGAAUACCGGAGAAUGUUAUCACGGGAGACACACGGCGGGUGCUAACGUCCGUCGUGAAGAGGGAAACAACCCAGACCGCCAGCUAAGGUCCCAAAGUCAUGGUUAAGUGGGAAACGAUGUGGGAAGGCCCAGACAGCCAGGAUGUUGGCUUAGAAGCAGCCAUCAUUUAAAGAAAGCGUAAUAGCUCACUGGUCGAGUCGGCCUGCGCGGAAGAUGUAACGGGGCUAAACCAUGCACCGAAGCUGCGGCAGCGACGCUUAUGCGUUGUUGGGUAGGGGAGCGUUCUGUAAGCCUGUGAAGGUGUGCUGUGAGGUAUGCUGGAGGUAUCAGAAGUGCGAAUGCUGACAUAAGUAACGAUAAAGCGGGUGAAAAGCCCGCUCGCCGGAAGACCAAGGGUUCCUGUCCAACGUUAAUCGGGGCAGGGUGAGUCGACCCCUAAGGCGAGGCCGAAAGGCGUAGUCGAUGGGAAACAGGUUAAUAUUCCUGUACUUGGUGUUACUGCGAAGGGGGGACGGAGAAGGCUAUGUUGGCCGGGCGACGGUUGUCCCGGUUUAAGCGUGUAGGCUGGUUUUCCAGGCAAAUCCGGAAAAUCAAGGCCGAGGCGUGAUGACGAGGCACUACGGUGCUGAAGCAACAAAUGCCCUGCUUCCAGGAAAAGCCUCUAAGCAUCAGGUAACAUCAAAUCGUACCCCAAACCGACACAGGUGGUCAGGUAGAGAAUACCAAGGCGCUUGAGAGAACUCGGGUGAAGGAACUAGGCAAAAUGGUGCCGUAACUUCGGGAGAAGGCACGCUGAUACGUAGGUGAAGCGACUUGCUCGUGGAGCUGAAAUCAGUCGAAGAUACCAGCUGGCUGCAACUGUUUAUUAAAAACACAGCACUGUGCAAACACGAAAGUGGACGUAUACGGUGUGACGCCUGCCCGGUGCCGGAAGGUUAAUUGAUGGGGUUAGCGCAAGCGAAGCUCUUGAUCGAAGCCCCGGUAAACGGCGGCCGUAACUAUAACGGUCCUAAGGUAGCGAAAUUCCUUGUCGGGUAAGUUCCGACCUGCACGAAUGGCGUAAUGAUGGCCAGGCUGUCUCCACCCGAGACUCAGUGAAAUUGAACUCGCUGUGAAGAUGCAGUGUACCCGCGGCAAGACGGAAAGACCCCGUGAACCUUUACUAUAGCUUGACACUGAACAUUGAGCCUUGAUGUGUAGGAUAGGUGGGAGGCUUUGAAGUGUGGACGCCAGUCUGCAUGGAGCCGACCUUGAAAUACCACCCUUUAAUGUUUGAUGUUCUAACGUGGACCCGUGAUCCGGGUUGCGGACAGUGUCUGGUGGGUAGUUUGACUGGGGCGGUCUCCUCCUAAAGAGUAACGGAGGAGCACGAAGGUUGGCUAAUCCUGGUCGGACAUCAGGAGGUUAGUGCAAUGGCAUAAGCCAGCUUGACUGCGAGCGUGACGGCGCGAGCAGGUGCGAAAGCAGGUCAUAGUGAUCCGGUGGUUCUGAAUGGAAGGGCCAUCGCUCAACGGAUAAAAGGUACUCCGGGGAUAACAGGCUGAUACCGCCCAAGAGUUCAUAUCGACGGCGGUGUUUGGCACCUCGAUGUCGGCUCAUCACAUCCUGGGGCUGAAGUAGGUCCCAAGGGUAUGGCUGUUCGCCAUUUAAAGUGGUACGCGAGCUGGGUUUAGAACGUCGUGAGACAGUUCGGUCCCUAUCUGCCGUGGGCGCUGGAGAACUGAGGGGGGCUGCUCCUAGUACGAGAGGACCGGAGUGGACGCAUCACUGGUGUUCGGGUUGUCAUGCCAAUGGCACUGCCCGGUAGCUAAAUGCGGAAGAGAUAAGUGCUGAAAGCAUCUAAGCACGAAACUUGCCCCGAGAUGAGUUCUCCCUGACCCUUUAAGGGUCCUGAAGGAACGUUGAAGACGACGACGUUGAUAGGCCGGGUGU